ACGGGUGCGUAACACGUAUACAAUCUACCUAAAACAGGGGAGUAGCCUUUCGAAAGAGAGAUUAAUACCCCGUAAUAUAUUGAAUGGCAUCAUUUGAUAUUGAAAGCUCCGGCGGUUUUAGAUGAGUAUGCGUCUGAUUAGCUAGUUGGCGAGGUAACGGCUCACCAAGGCGACGAUCAGUAGGGGAUCUGAGAGGACUAACCCCCACACUGGUACUGAGACACGGACCAG
rnacentral:rRNA from 1 species